rnacentral:lncRNA from 1 species
AUGUGUUUUAGUAGGAAUUAUAACUCCGUUGAUGUCUCAACUCACCUGAGGAGUAUGAAUGACACAGUCCCAGGUACAUGGGACUGGACCACAUCAGAGAGGUGCAUCCAUGGGGCGCGAUUUGUUUGCUCCUGGGCUUUGCCAUCCAUGCUGAGGCUGGGGAGAAGUCUGCAGCCUUCUCUAAGCAUCUCUGCAGACUUGGCUGGAGCCAGGGAGCAGUGGGGACCACCAACAUUGAGAGCAAGGUGCUUAGCAGUUAUUUCAUCCUUUGAACAUCCUUCGUGCUACCGGUGUUGUGCUGCUGUCCGUCCGUCCCUGGAGCGCUCCUGUGAGCCUGGUUCUUCGCCGCCCGUCCCCGUGUGUCGCCGCUGGUGGCACCUCGGCCAGGAGGUGUGUGAGUCGCCGAGGAGGCACCGGAGCGAUGCCUGGGGGCUGGGGGAUCCUACACCUGCUCUCAAACUUCCCUCCGCUGAUGCGGGAGGCUGCCAAAUUGCAAUUAGGCUGUCUGUGAUGCAGUCAGUGCUGGCAAACGCGUCAGGGAACGGAGUCAAAGGAUUCCCCCCAAACAAGGCUCCCUGGCUUAAAUGGGCAGCGAGAAGUGUAUUAGCACAGCAGCAAAAGGGACAUUGUGCCCUUAAAAAGUACUUCUGGAAGGUAUAUAUAAUUAUUUUUCCAAGGCACACCAUAUGAAGCACUAAAAAUAUGGCUUAGGAAAUAGAAACAACAUGUGAAGGAGAGGAGCAGGAGAAGUUUUCAGAGGAUUCAGUGCAAAAGACUACCAACAAUGCUUUUGGAAAUUAUAAUCUGAAUUAUAAGAUGAAUGAAAGAGGCUGUCUGAAAGCGAGAGCUCAGAGGUAUGGUCCAUUUUAAGUGAGAAAUCAUGAAGUAUUUAUGAAGAAAGUCAGCAAUUAUCCAAGGUCAGAGGAUAUGGCAUGAUAGGCUGCUGUCAGUACAGUUUCCAAGGAUUAAGAAGUUUUGAUACCUGUGAAAAAGUAAUGUAUUCAAGUAAACCAGAAGGUUUUCAAAUUGGAUAAUCUAUGAAUGACCUCAAGCCACCAGGAAAGCUCAGUAAGGUGUUUAGAGACCCUCCAGCAAACAGAAACACAUCCAAAAGUGCUUCUAGGGGGAAAAAAAAAUAAAUAAAUAAAGCCAGAUUUGCUAUGGCUGUUC